ensembl:lncRNA
AGCGUCAGCGCUUUGUAUCGGUCUGUAACGUUUUCAGAGUUUUUCCGAGGGGCUUACGCUUCUUUACGUUGUGAUCGACCAAUCGGUAAUGUGCGCUGUUUCCAGCCCCGCCCACAUUCUCCAGUGCGUAUGUGCUUUAACACUUCUGAGAUCUGAGUCAUGAAUCAGCUGAGCGGCGAUCACAGCUCACUGGCGCUGUACCUGUGUGUGUGUGUGUGUGUGUGUGUGUGUGUGUUGUGUCUCGUCUCAGCCGGGUGUGAAGUUGUAAUAAGAGGUGAAAUUCGUUUAGUUUUCUCAAAAGCUCAGCACCAGGGUGUUUUUAUGAUUCUUCCAGACCCUAGUUCAACUAUCAUGAGAGCUUCACCCAGGGAUAAACGAAUUAAAAUACGAUUCACGUCAUUGCCACACGUCUGCCUCGGCACACAGGCCGGGUGAAGGCGAGGGUGCCAAUACUUUUAUCUAUGCAGAAGACGUACGGUAAGAAGAUGUGCAGCUUUGUUGGACGACGUUAAGGAACAACAAAAAGGUGUUCAGUGGCUGAAUCUCAAACUCUGUUUUGUGCUCUGCACUGGGUAGGGCACUGGGUAGGGUACUAGCUAGGGCACUAGGAAGGGCACU